GCCUCGUUGGUUUAGAGGUAGAGCGUCUGUCUUAUAGGCAAAAGAUCGCUGGUUCGAUUCCAGCAUAAGGCA
rnacentral:tRNA from 1 species